rnacentral:rRNA from 1 species
UACAGAGGUCCCAAGCGUUGUUCGGAUUCACUGGGCGUAAAGGGUGCGUAGGUGGUGAGGUAAGUCGGAUGUGAAAGCUCGGAGCUCAACUCCGAAAUGGCAUUGGAAACUACCUUGCUCGAGGGUUGGAGGGGGACUGGAAUGCUUGGUGUAGCAGUGAAAUGCGUAGAUAUCAAGCGGAACACCAGUGGCGAAGGCGGCUC